rnacentral:rRNA from 1 species
CGUAGGACACAAGCGUUAUCCGGAGUUACUGGGCGUAAAGGGCGUGUAGGCGGAUCGGUAAGUCUACUCUGAAAGCUCCUGGCUAAACUGGGAGAGGCGAGUGGAGACUGUCGGUCUGGAGUGAGGAAGAGGAAAGUGGAAUUCCGCGUGUAGUGGUGAAAUGCGUAGAGAUGCGGAGGAACACCAGUGGCGAAAGCGGCUUUCUGGUCCUUAACUGACGCUGAGGCGCGAAAGCAUGGGGAGCGAACGGGAUUAGAAACCCCGGUAGUCCAUGCCGUAAACGAUGUUCACUAAACGUUCGUUUCCCGCGAGGGAAGUGGGUGUUGAAGCUAACGCAGUAAGUGAACCGCCUGGGGAGUACGGUCGCAAGGCUA